AUGAACGCUGGCGGCGUGCCUAAUCCCUGCAAGUCGCGCGCACAGACGAGGAGCUUGCUCCUCUGACGUUAGCGGCGGACGGGUGAGUAACACGUGGAUAACCUACCUAUAAGACUGGGAUAACUUCGGGAAACCGGAGCUAAUACCGGAUAAUAUAUUGAACCGCAUGGUUCAAUAGUGAAAGACGGUUUUGCUGUCACUUAUAGAUGGAUCCGCGCCGCAUUAGCUAGUUGGUAAGGUAACGGCUUACCAAGGCGACGAUGCGUAGCCGACCUGAGAGGGUGAUCGGCCACACUGGAACUGAGACACGGGCCAGACUCCUACGGGAGGCAGCAGUAGGGAAUCUUCCGCAAUGGGCGAAAGCCUGACGGAGCAACGCCGCGUGAGUGAUGAAGGUCUUCGGAUCGUAAAACUCUGUUAUUAGGGAAGAACAAAUGUGUAAGUAACUAUGCACGUCUUGACGGUACCUAAUCAGAAAGCCACGGCUAACUACGU
rnacentral:rRNA from 1 species